UGGGAGGAUUGUUUCAGCUUGGAGGGUGAGGCUGCAGAGAGCUGUGAUAGUACCACUGCACUCCAGCCUGAGUGACAGAGCAAGACCUUGUCUCA
ensembl:miRNA